UACGAAGGGGGCUAGCGUUGCUCGGAAUCACUGGGCGUAAAGGGCGCGUAGGCGGCGUUUUAAGUCGGGGGUGAAAGCCUGUGGCUCAACCACAGAAUUGCCUUCGAUACUGUUUGGCUUGAGUUUGGUAGAGGUUGGUGGAACUGCGAGUGUAGAGGUGAAAUUCGUAGAUAUUCGCAAGAACACCAGUGGCGAAGGCG
rnacentral:rRNA from 1 species